AGCCUUGGGAACUGACCAAAGGAGUGUUCGGCAUUGACUCAGAUGGUGAGCUGUUUACCGUCGAUACAAGUGGUGAAAGGUGGACGCUCAACCAAGCUUCAUUGAAGAACGUUGAUGGUCAGAGUGACGGUACCACCACAACUGGCGCAUUUACUCAUUUGUAUGGCCGUCGUCGUUUUAAUCGCUUUGCUGUCGGCGACUUGGUGCAGAUCGGCAGUGAUCGAAAGACCGUCUCGUUCGCAAAUGAUGUUUGUUGGAAAGGAUAUUUAGAGCAGACCCUCGGUCGAAUUGGUCUCAUAGUGCAAGU